ensembl:lncRNA
AAAAAAUGGUCGUGCAUACUGCUGACUAUAUAAAAACUACAAGCUAAAACUCUAAAACUUCAUAAACACUGCAGCCUGGCCUUGGUCUGGGUUAAAUCGGUUGUGUAAAUUUUAAAAUUGCAUCAGUAUGGAUGAAAUCCUAACUUUUAAAAAUACUUAUGCCCAGACCUGACAAAUUUUAACUAAAAAUAUUUAUGCGCUCCUUUUAGUCUAUUUUUCACAGUCCCCUGAAGCAACACAAGCAGCCAGGAUUUUGUGUGAUUCAUAUGUUCACCAGUAUGUUUUAAUUUGAAAACUAAACGGAAAUUGGACUCAUGUAUACUACCAUCUUGAGUGUUUUGGGGAACAGAGAAAGGAACAGGAGUUUGAAGGUUAGAGAGCAGCAAAGUGCACUGCAAAUUCACUACAUGAUAAGGACUUUCUCCAUAAAGGCUCUCUCAGGACUCAUAGACAGGUGCAGAAAGGUGCGGUCGCAGGGCCAUGAUCUCAUUGCCAUUACAGAGACAUGGUGGGAUAGCUCGCAUGACUGGAGUGCUGUCAUGGAUGGCUACGUGCUUUUUAGGAAAGACAGGCCAGGAAAGCGAGGUGGUGGAGUUGCUCUUUAUGUGAGAGAGCAACUGGAAUGUAUUGAGCUGUGCCUAGRGGUGGAUGAAGAGCGAGUCGAGAGCUUAUGGGUAAGGAUYAAAGGGCAGGCUAGCAUGGGUGACACUGUUGUGGGUGUUUACUACAGGCCACCUGAUCAGGAAGAGGAAGUCGAUGAGGCCUUCUACAGACAGCUGGAAGUAGCCUCACGAUCCCAGGCCCUGGUUCUCAUGGGGGACUUCAACCACCCUGAUAUCUGCUGGAAAGACAACACAGCUAGGCACAAACAGUCCUGGAGGUUCCUGCAGAGCAUUGGUGACAACUUCUUGACACAGGUGGUGGAGGAGCCAACAAGGAGAGGUGUGCUGCUGGACCUCGUACUAACAAACAAAGAAGGACUGGUGGAAGAUGUGAAGGUCGGGGGUAGCCUUGGCUGCAGUGACCAUGAGAUGCUGGAGUUCAGGAUCCUGCGAGGAGGCAGCAGGGCACCAAGUAGGAUCGCAACCCUGGACUUCAGGAGAGCAAACUUUGGCCUCUUCAGGGACCUACUUGGAGGAAUCCCAUGGGUGAGGGCCCUAGAAGGAAGGAGUGUUCAAGAGAGCUGGUUAAUAUUCAAACAUCACUUCCUCCAGGCUGAAGAGCGGUGCAUCCCUAUGAGUAGGAAGUCAAGCAAAGGAGGCAGGAGACCUGCAUGGAUGAGCAAGGAGCUCCUGGCAAAACUCAACCAGAAGAAGGAAGUCUACAGAAAGUGGAAAGGGGGACAGGCCACUUGGGAGGAAUAUAGGAACGUUGUCAGAGUAUGCAGGGAUGCAACGAGGAAGGCUAAGGCCCGUUUGGAAUUAAAUCUGGCUAGAGAUGUCAAGGACAGCAAGAAGGGCUUCUUCAAAUACAUCAGUAGCAAGAGGAAGACUAGGGAAAAUGUGGGCCCUUUGCUGAAUGGAGUGGGUGCCCUGGUGACGAAGGAUGCAGAGAAGGCAGAGUUACUGAAUGCCUUCUUUGCUUCAGUCUUUACUGCUCAGGCCAGCCCUCAGGAACCCCAGAUCCUGGAGGCAAGAGAGAAAGUCUGGAGAGAGGAAGACUUUCCCUUGGUGGAGGAGGAGUGGGUUAGAGAUCAUUUAAGCAAACUUGACACCCACAAAUCCAUGGGCCCUGAUGGGAUGCACCCACGAGUGCUGAGGGAGCUGGCGGACAUUAUUGCUAAGCCACUCUCCAUCAUCUUUGAAAGGUCAUGGAGAAGAGGAGAGGUG